GACGAACGCUGGCGGCGUGCUUAACACAUGCAAGUCGAGCGGUAAGGCCCUUUCGGGGGUACACGAGCGGCGAACGGGUGAGUAACGCGUGGGUGACCUGCCCUCAGCUCUGGGAUAAGCCUGGGAAACCGGGUCUAAUACCGGAUAUGACUCCAUGACGCAUGUUGUGGGGUGGAAAGCCUUGUGCGGCUGAGGAUGGGCCCGCGGCCUAUCAGCUUGUUGGUGGGGUGAUGGCCUACCAAGGCGACGACGGGUAGCCGGCCUGAGAGGGCGACCGGCCACACUGGGACUGAGACACGGCCCAGACUCCUACGGGAGGCAGCAGUGGGGAAUCUUGCGCAAUGGGCGAAAGCCUGACGCAGCGACGCCGCGUGAGGGAUGACGGCCUGGUGUAA
rnacentral:rRNA from 1 species